rnacentral:rRNA from 1 species
UACAGAGGUCUCAAGCGUUGUUCGGAUUCAUUGGGCGUAAAGGGUGCGUAGGCGGCGCGGUAAGUCGGGUGUGAAAUCUCGGAGCUUAACUCCGAAACUGCAUUCGAUACUGCCGUGCUUGAGGACUGGAGAGGAGACUGGAAUUUACGGUGUAGCGGUGAAAUGCGCAGAUAUCGGGAGGAACACCAAUGGCGAAGGCAGCUCGCUGGGACGUGACUGACGCUGAGACGCGAAAGCGUGGGGAGCAAACAGG